rnacentral:rRNA from 1 species
GACGAACGCUGGCGGCACGCCUAACACAUGCAAGUCGAGCGGAGAUUGAGAGCUUGCUCUCAUGAUCAGCGGCGGACGGGUGAGUAACACGUGAGCAACCUGCCUUUCAGAGGGGGACAACAGUUGGAAACGACUGCUAAUACCGCAUAACAUUGCCGAACGGCAUCGUUUGGCAAUCAAAGGAGCAAUCCGCUGAAAGAUGGGCUCGCGUCUGAUUAGAUAGUUGGUGAGGUAACGGCUCACCAAGUCGACGAUCAGUAGCCGGACUGAGAGGUUGAUCGGCCACAUUGGGACUGAGACACGGCCCAGACUCCUACGGGAGGCAGCAGUGGGGGAUAUUGGACAAUGGGGGAAACCCUGAUCCAGCGAUGCCGCGUGAGGGAAGAAGGUUUUCGGAUUGUAAACCUCUGUGGACAGGGACGAUAAUGACGGUACCUGUUUAGAAAGCCACGGCUAACUACGUGCCAGCAGCCGC